GAAAAAAGAUUUUGACAUUUUGGAAUGGUGGGAAAUGCACGGUAUAAAUUACCCAGUCCUAUCUUGCAUUGCUCGUGAUGUCCUAGCCAUUCAAGCAUCAACCGUUGCAUCAGAGUCUUCUUUAGUGCCGGCGGGAGAAUCAUUAGUGAUCACAGGACCAGGCUAAAGAGCGACACGGUUGAGGGGCUAUUAUGCCUCCAAGAUUGGCUAAAUGCUAAUGACACUAAACCAACUAAUAAAGAUGCUGAGGAGGAAGUAUACUUGGAGUUCCACCAAGCAAGCAAGUGCCACAAAGAAGGCCGCACUCGCUCGCGCUCCUCUGUGCCCUCCUCGUCGCCGCUCUCCUCCCCGGCGUCGAGUAGCUCACUCUCUCCCUCGAUCUCAUGUGAGUGCUUC